rnacentral:rRNA from 1 species
GUACCGUGAGGGAAAGGCGAAAAGAACCCCGGCGAGGGGAGUGAAAAAGAACCUGAAACCGUGUACGUACAAGCAGUGGGAGCACGCUUAGGCGUGUGACUGCGUACCUUUUGUAUAAUGGGUCAGCGACUUAUAUUCUGUAGCAAGGUUAACCGAAUAGGGGAGCCGAAGGGAAACCGAGUCUUAACUGGGCGUUAAGUUGCAGGGUAUAGACCCGAAACCCGGUGAUCUAGCCAUGGGCAGGUUGAAGGUUGGGUAACACUAACUGGAGGACCGAACCGACUAAUGUUGAAAAAUUAGCGGAUGACUUGUGGCUGGGGGUGAAAGGCCAAUCAAACCGGGAGAUAGCUGGUUCUCCCCGAAAGCUAUUUAGGUAGCGCCUCGUGAAUUCAUCUCCGGGGGUAGAGCACUGUUUCGGCAAGGGGGUCAUCCCGACUUACCAACCCGAUGCAAACUGCGAAUACCGGAGAAUGUUAUCACGGGAGACACACGGCGGGUGCUAACGUCCGUCGUGAAGAGGGAAACAACCCAGACCGCCAGCUAAGGUCCCAAAGUCAUGGUUAAGUGGGAAACGAUGUGGGAAGGCCCAGACAGCCAGGAUGUUGGCUUAGAAGCAGCCAUCAUUUAAAGAAAGCGUAAUAGCUCACUGGUCGAGUCGGCCUGCGCGGAAGAUGUAACGGGGCUAAACCAUGCACCGAAGCUGCGGCAGCGACGCUUAUGCGUUGUUGGGUA